rnacentral:lncRNA from 1 species
CUAACUAAUUUUCUACUUCUCACCUUUUGUAGGACAAACUUUUGUGAUCAAUUAUUGAAACAUUUUAUUUUAUUGAUCUUACCAUAUGCACCUCACAUACCAGAUAAGUUUGGUCUUGGCAUACGAGCUCCUAUGUGAGGUAAGUUUUUUCUCCACGAGGUAAGUUUUUUGUUAAUUUUAGAUUUCACUUCAUUCUUCUUCAAUAUCUUGCCCGCCAGGCAGAUCAUAAGUUUUUAUUGAAGUUAUUACUACAGAACUUGUUAGGUAAAUUCCUACUACAGUCUACAGACCUUGUUUGGUGAAGUGACUGACAGAUGCAAGUAUAUGUUAACCAAGCAGAGCCAACAAGAAUUAAACAGUAACUUUGUUUCUAGUUGAACUAGUUAGUAAAACGCAUAGUAGUGAUAGAUUGUUGAAAAUAGAAAACAAGCCGAAAGGGAGAAAGAUUUAUUGUUCAGUCUUCCGACGGCCAAUAUUUACAUCAGAGGACUAGUAUGCGUUACUGGCUAGCAAAAUAAAAAUUUACAAGCCAAAAAGUUACACAAACGCGCAUCGUUCAUGUUUUCUGCAAUAUUUGAAACAAACGGAUAUCAGUAAUGGCAAGUGGUAAAGUGUAUCUGGAAUAGGGACCGGCUAUCAAUUGCAUUACCUUUGACACACAGGCAUGACGGCCAUCAGAAGAUGUACAAGCAAAGCAACUGGUAGUCCAAAGCUUUUGCAGCUUCCUCUUUUACAGACAAGAGGAAAAAUGUAUGCAGACAAAAGUUUCAUCUAUAAACAUAGAAUGGGAAGCAAUGUGCCCUUUUUUAUACUUGUAGUUUCUCUGAGUUACUUUUUCUCUAUGUUAAAGAGAGUUAAGAAUUGAAAGUUGUUAGACUUUACUGGCCGAAGAAUGAAAAAGUAGAGAGAGCGUUCACUAACCUUUAUUUUUUCUUAGGAGGGGCUUCGGGUUCGAUUUGUUCUGUAGUUAACUCUUUCUUUUUCAACUCUUUCUUCACCUCUUUUGUGGCUGCAACAUCUUUUUCAGUUGUAUCUUGAGGAGUCUGUGAGUAAGAUGUUGUCGCACAUGUUCAAGAGGCAAUGACUCUUUCUGCAAGAGGAGAAUGUGCCUUUAAAGACCAAGAUAUUAGUCAAAGUAAUGUACUUUCAAUCGAAAUAAAUGUUUUAAGCGCUUUGUUGUAAUAGACUAAUAUCACAAAUACAAUGCUAAGAAAAUUUCAUUGUAAAGAUGCUGUAAAAUAGAAGAGGACAUCAAACUCAGUAAGAGUGAUAUAUGUUGUUAUAUCAACAUCAGUGGGAAGAGAAAGUUGAAAUAACUGAAAGAACCUUGCACAUGUCAGGAAGAUGCAUCAAGAGCGUAAAACCAAAUAAAUUCGUUCUUCCUUAAUUUGCAAUUUUAGGUUUUCGUGCCGGUUCACGUGAUAACAUAGGUGGUCUUUUAUUAUUUCUGGGAAUGAG